AAACAUUUCUGAGGGGAAAAUGUUUUUGGUUUAACCUGCUCAAUGCUUAGGUAAAUAGCUGCAGUAUUUUGACUGUACAAAGGUAGCAUAAUCAUUAGUCUUUUGAUUGAAGGCUUGUAUGAAUGGUUGAACAGAAUAUUAACUUUUUUAACUACACGAAUUUUUAAUUUAUAGUUUAUGUAAAAAUGCAUAGUUAUUUAAAAGGGACGAUAAGACCCUAUAGAAUUUAAAAAUGUUCUGAGUUAUAUUUUUUUGUUGGGGUGACAGUAAAUAAACUUUUACAUUGUAUUCAUUGGUAAAUGAUUAAGAGAUCCUAUGUUUAGAGAAGAAGAUAAAGUUACCUUAGGGAUAACAGCAUAAUUUUUUUUAAAAGAUCUUAUUAAUAAAAAAGAUUAUGACCUCGAUGUUGAAUUAAAAUAAAAUUUUGGUGUAGAAGCUUAAUUU
rnacentral:rRNA from 1 species